GAGUGAACGCUGGCGGCAGGCCUAACACAUGCAAGUCGAACGGCAGCACAGCAGUAGCAAUACUGUGGGUGGCGAGUGGCGGACGGGUGAGGAAUACAUCGGAAUCUACCUUGUCGUGGGGGAUAACCUCGGGAAACCGGGACUAAUACCGCAUACGAACUAUGGUUGAAAGCGGCGGACCGCAAGGCGUCGCGCGAUUGGAUGAGCCGAUGUCCGAUUAGCUAGUUGGCGGGGUAAAGGCCCACCAAGGCGACGAUCGGUAGCUGGUCUGAGAGGAUGAUCAGCCACACUGGAACUGAGACACGGUCCAGACUCCUACGGGAGGCAGCAGUGGGGAAUAUUGGACAAUGGGGGCAACCCUGAUCCAGCCAUGCGCGUGUGUGAAGAAGGCCUCGGUUGUAAG
rnacentral:rRNA from 1 species